UGCCAAUGUGAUUUCAUUCUCUCUUUCUCAAAAUUUCCACUUUUGAUUCUUAUAAUGGAAUUUGUGUUGUAGUCAUCUUUAAGGUCUAUGAUUCGGAUGGCAAUGGCAAAGUCACAUUCAGUGAUAUGUUGGAUGUUUUGCGUGACUUGACAGGGCAAUUUAUAUCUGAACAACAAAGCAAGUUCUGACCCAUGUUCUUGAGGAAGCUGGAUACAAAACGGAUUCUUUGUUAGUUGUGUCUGACUUUAUGAAGAGAUUCAGGCUGCUGGGAGUACAUAUGGAACUUAUUUUCGAGUUACAACAUAUGGGGGAAUCUUAUGGUGGGGGCGUUGGAUGUGUAAUUGAUGGAUGUCCACCUCGGCUUUCUAUCUCAGAAGCUGAUAUGCAAACAGAUCUUGGCAGAAGGUAUUUCCAUGCAUGGUCCUCAUGGACUCACGUUUGAUAUUACCCUAUUUCUAAAAGCUUAGUUAGGCAAUUUGUCUGGUAUUCUGUCCCUACAAAUUUGAACCAAGUAUUUCGGAACAUUAUCUGCCAAUUUAUGCCAGAAUUAGAAUCAUUUUUUCAACAGCUGCUACUGCUUUCUAUCAUGCUCUCUCUUGUCUCCGCUCCU